UGGCCCAGAUCGUUUACCGUGAAGAAAUUAGAGUGUUCAAAGCGGGCGCGAAAGCAAUUUCUCGCCGUUGAAUACGUCAGCAUGGGAUAAUGGAAUAGGACCCCGCUCUCCUAUUUUCCGUUGGUUUCCGGGAGCGGGGUAAUGAUUGAUAGGGAUAGUUGGGGGCAUCGAUAUUUAAUUGUCAGAGGUGAAAUUCUUGGAUUUAUGAAAGAUCGACUUCCGCGAAAGCAUUUGCCAAGGAUGUUUUCAUUAAUCAAGAACGAAAGUUAGGGGAUCGAAGACGAUCAGAUACCGUCGUAGUCUUAACCAUAAACCGUGCCGACCCGGAAUGGGACGAUUCCUU
rnacentral:rRNA from 1 species